rnacentral:rRNA from 1 species
UACGAAGGGGGGCGAGCGUUGUUCGGAUUUACUGGGCGUAAAGGGCGCGCAGGCGGCUCAUUUUGUCAGGCGUGAAAGCCCCGGGCUUAACCUGGGAACUGCGUUUGAUACGGAUGGGCUAGAGUUCGGGAGAGGAGAGUGGAAUUCCCAGUGUAGAGGUGAAAUUCGUAGAUAUUGGGAAGAACACCGGUGGCGAAGGCGGCUCUCUGGACCGAUACUGACGCUGAGGUGCGAAAGCGUGGGGAGCAAACAGG